UACAGAGGGUGCAAGCGUUAUUCGGAAUCACUGGGCGUAAAGAGCACGUAGGUGGUUUGCUAAGUCAGAUGUGAAAUCCCUGGACCCAAUCCAGGAACUGCAUCUGAUACUGGUAAACUAGAGUAUAGGAGAGGAAGGCGGAAUUCCAGGUGUAGAGGUGAAAUUCGUAGAUAUCUGGAGGAACAACAGAGGCGAAGGCGGCCUUCUGGACUAUUACUGACACUGAGGUGCGAAAGCGUGGGGAGCAAACGGG
rnacentral:rRNA from 1 species